rnacentral:lncRNA from 1 species
UUAGAAGAGUUAAUUAUUGAGGUUAACUUCAUGAGUUAUGGGGAAAAGCUCUCUAAGUAAGACAGAGUAUUUGAAUCUAUUCUAGGCAGUGAUUUCUGUCAUAGUCUUUCAUAGUCCCACAACGGGGAAAGUUCAUCUCAUAACAGCACAGAGUAUGAUACAGGAGAAGAAAAAUAUAGCAGCAUAGCAGCAAGUAAAAAUACAGAACAGACCAAUGAAACUGAAAUGUCUUUCCUAAUAGUAAUAAUUUUAUUAGUAAAGAAGUUCAUGAAGUCAUUGCUGCUGAGAUUAAAGGGGAUAGUAGGCUCAACACAGCUAUAACUCUUAGUCAGCCUGGCUACAGAGCUCAUAAGAAAUCUGGGGUUUUGUUUUGUUUUUCUCAGUUAAUGUCAGGUUCUGGCUCUGUGUUUCAGUUUUACCUUGUAAAGGACUCUGUUCAUUUGGCCACAUUAUCAUGUCUUGGGUUUUCUAGUUUCCAUUUCCGGUUUUAUUUUGGUAGUCUCCCAGGUUUCUGUUUCAGUUCGAGCUUCACUUCCGGUUUAUGUCACGUCACAGCUGUUCUUGCUUCACCCGGUCAUUAUUCACACCUGCACGUCAUCAGUAAUCGAGUCACGUUGUAUUUAACCACCACCUGUGUCCUCAGUUCCCCGCUUUACUUCCUGUUUACCCGUUGUCACAGCUGUUUCCCUGUCAGUACCGGUCUUCAUUACACACACCUGUUUAGUAUCAGUAAUCUAGUCACGUUGUAUUUAACCACCACCAGUGUCCUCAGUUCCCCGCCAGAUCGUUGCUUGUGCGUAUCCGUCAUAGUUCCCAGUUCCUUUGAUCCUGUCCGGCCGUAUUUUACGUUUCUUGUUUUCUGGACUGCUGAUGCCGAGCCUGCCUAAUCCCUGCCUGUUCUGUCUGCCUCGGUGUUGUACCUGCCCUUUACCGACCUUGCCUGCCCGACCACGAUUCAACGCCUGACGUAUUAUUGGAAUAAACUACGCUCGUUAACACCA